AAACCAUGAUUUGGAGACUUCUGCAAAUAUUCCUUCUUAAAUCUCUCCCAAGCUUCAAAUUGUACUUCGCCCCAAAGCUGUUUGAAAUCAUAUAUCUUGUCACGAAUUU